CCAUUCUUUAAUGAGCGCUGACGUGGUAGACUUCGGUGGUGUGCACCGGCCCCGGUCCUGCCUCCCCGGGAGGUGGCCGUGUGGGGCCAGCUGGCCUCGUCAGCCGGGGCUGAAGGGAAGAGAAGCAGGAAGGACUUUCAUGGGAACGAGGGGAGACUCAUUCCACCUGCUGCUUCAGAGCAGAAGACUCCAACCUCCACGGGAAGUCACAGCAAGUCACUUUCGGCCCAGCACAAGAGUCCCGUCAGUUGAUGCUGGCUGUCCCCGCUGUCCUCUCUGUGGUUGGGUUACCGAAGCCCACGUCACUCCUGGAGUCAGUUCUGGGUUAAACUGAAGAGAAGGCCCUGGCAUCCUGGCAACUAACCUAGUUUCUGGCUGUGGAUUUGCUCUAUUUCCUAGAAGAAAAUCAUGCACUAUAUGGACUUUUGUGUCUAGUUUCUUUCACUAUGGACGUACCACCUUCUAUGUGUCCGUCCAUCAGAUGGCACCAUGGCCCUGGCUGUCUCCCAAAUUGGAGACGACUGAAGCCCCACAUCCUGCCGCUGACCCUGUCCUGGAUAUGUCUGUCUGGCGACACCUCUGCCUGCCCC